UCCAGACUCCUACGGGAGGCAGCAGUGAGGAAUAUUGGUCAAUGGGCGCGAGCCUGAACCAGCCAAGUAGCGUGAAGGAUGACUGCCCUACGGGUUGUAAACUUCUUUUAUAAAGGAAUAAAGUGAGGCACGUGUGCCUUUUUGUAUGUACUUUAUGAAUAAGCAUCGGCUAACUCCGUGCCAGCAGCCGCGGUAAUACGGAGGAUGCGAGCGUUAUCCGGAUUUAUUGGGUUUAAAGGGUGCGUAGGCGGAAGGUUAAGUCAGCGGUCAAAUGUCGGUGCUCAACACCGGCCUGCCGUUGAAACUGGUCUUCUUGAGUGAGCGAGAAGUAUGCGGAAUGCGUGGUGUAGCGGUGAAAUGCAUAGAUAUCACGCAGAACUCCGAUUGCGAAGGCAGCAUACCGGCGCUCAACUGACGCUGAGGCACGAAAGCGUGGGGAUCGAACAGGAUUAGAUACCCUAGUA
rnacentral:rRNA from 1 species